rnacentral:rRNA from 1 species
AUUACUCCUACGGGAGGCAGCAGUGAGGAAUUUUGCGCAAUGGGAGCAAUCCUGACGCAGCAACGCCGCGUGGGUGAAGAAGGCCUUCGGGUCGUAAAGCCCUGUCAGGUGGGAAGAAGGGUCCUAUCAGGAAAGGGGUGGGAUUUGACGGUACCACCAGAGGAAGCACCGGCUAACUCCGUGCCAGCAGCCGCGGUAAUACGGAGGGUGCGAGCGUUAUUCGGAAUUACUGGGCGUAAAGCGCGUGUAGGCGGGGGAGCAAGUCUGAUGUGAAAGCCCCGGGCUUAACCCGGGAAGUGCAUUGGAAACUGUUUUUCUUGAGUACUGGAGAGGAAGGGGGAAUUCCCGGUGUAGAGGUGAAAUUCGUAGAGAUCGGGAGGAAUACCAGUGGCGAAGGCGCCCUUCUGGACGGUUACUGACGCUGAGACGCGAAAGCGUGGGGAGCAAACAGGAUUAGAUACCCUGGUAGUCAAU